rnacentral:rRNA from 1 species
GAUAAACGCUGGCGGCGCACAUAAGACAUGCAAGUCGAACGAACUUAAUUGAGAGCUUGCUCUCAAAGCGGUUAGUGGCGGACUGGUGAGUAACACGUAAGCAACCUGCCUAUUAGAGGGGAAUAACAGCGAGAAAUCGUUGCUAAUACCGCAUAUGCUGUGAGUAUCGCAUGAUACAAGCAGGAAAGGAGCAAUCCGCUAAUAGAUGGGCUUGCGUCUGAUUAGUUAGCUGGUGGGGUAACGGCCUACCAAGACGAUGAUCAGUAGCCGGACUGAGAGGUUGAACGGCCACAUUGGGACUGAGAUACGGCCCAGACUCCUACGGGAGGCAGCAGUCGGGAAUAUUGCGCAAUGGAGGAAACUCUGACGCAGUGACGCCGCGUGCAGGAAGAAGGUUUUCGGAUUGUAAACUGCUUUUAACAGGAAAGAAAAAAUGACGUACCUGUGA